GGGGCAGUCAAGGUUUCGACGGUGCUCUUGAAGAUGGAGAAGCGAGUCGGUGCGAUCCGUAAAACGCAAAACUAAAAUAAACGCUGAUAAUAAAUUAGCAUUCGCUGCCUAAUGGCAGCUGUCCGCUCUAGCGUACCUAUGCGUUAGAAUCCGGGCAUCGACUACAUAGGAAACGACGCAUACAAAGCUUUGAGUAUGUGGGCGUAUCAUGAAGCUACUAAAACCGCUCGGGUGUUUGUUACCGGUCGGCGGAGGGAAUGAAGUCCAACAAACUACGCUCGUAGAAGUACAUGGGAUGGGGUUUCGGACACGGGUUCGACUCCCGUCUGCUCCACUU
rnacentral:tmRNA from 1 species